GUUAAGAUAUGUCCUGAUCUCCUAAAGCCACAGAAUCCCAGAGACUCAAAGUAAAUCUUCUCUUUGGCAAAUCAGAAGGCUCUGCAUAAAUCUCACACUCCAAUUCCAAUCGACCUGACCAUCAGAAAAGACAAAAAGGGAAAAUCCUGGCCAGUUCUCCCCUACCUGAUCAACCAGUAGCAUAAUCAGAUUUGCAAGACCUCAAGAAAAGAAACCUGAAAAUGCCACUGGAGGUGUGUGUUUUGCCAAAGAAAAAAGAAUCAAAAACAAAACCUGCAGGAUGAGGACAAACAAACAAAGAGCAGGUUCCUCUCUGGCAUCAGACAGUGAUGUCUAAUCUCUCUAACGAAUUAGUCAUCCCUAUCUCUGCCACCAUAUCCUUGGACGUGCAGGAAAAGGAAACUAGAGACGAGAUACCGAUCCUCAGAGAAUCUAAGUGAUUUGCUCAGGUUCACAGUUAGUAAGUGGUAAAGCAAGCAACUGAGGUGUCGGGGCUCACAACAUGAUAACCCAAGAUAGUGGCACCUUGGCACAGGGCUCAGCCACGAACCUUGUGAUGGAUGAGGAAAAGAUAUCCUUUUUCUCCCCUUACAGUUUCUGGCAGCCAACAUGGGGUGGCUGUGACAUCCCACUAGUUCCAGAACCUGCAGAUGAGAUCCUGGGACAACCAAUAAAAAAACAACAAAAAGUUAA